rnacentral:misc_RNA from 1 species
UCUCCGUCGGUGGACCAGCGGAGGGAUCAUUACCGAGUUUACAACUCCCAAACCCCUGUGAACAUACCAUUUGUUGCCUCGGCGGUGCCUGCUUCGGCAGCCCGCCAGAGGCACCAAACCCUUGAUUUUAUACAGUAUCUUCUGAGUAAAUGAUUCAAUAAAUCAAAACUUUCAACAACGGAUCUCUUGGUUCUG